rnacentral:rRNA from 1 species
CAACAGGGAUUGCCCUAGUAACGGCGAGUGAAGCGGCAACAGCUCAAAUUUGAAAUCUGGCUCUUUCAGGGUCCGAGUUGUAAUUUGUAGAGGGUGCUUUGGAGUUGACUGUGGUCUAAGUUCCUUGGAACAGGACGUCGCAGAGGGUGAGAAUCCCGUAUGUGGCCGCCAGUCUUCGCCGUGUAAAGCCCCUUCGACGAGUCGAGUUGUUUGGGAAUGCAGCUCUAAAUGGGAGGUAAAUUUCUUCUAAAGCUAAAUAUUGGCCAGAGACCGAUAGCGCACAAGUAGAGUGAUCGAAAGAUGAAAAGCACUUUGGAAAGAGAGUCAAAAAGCACGUGAAAUUGUUGAAAGGGAAGCGCUUGCAGCCAGACUUGCCUGUAGUUGCUCAUCCGGGCUUUUGCCCGGUGCACUCUUCUAUAGGCAGGCCAGCAUCAGUCCUGGCGGUCGGAUAAAUGCCCGCUGAAUGUACCUCUCCUCGGGGAGGACUUAUAGCAGUGGGCGGCAUACGACCAGCCGGGAUUGAGGUCCGCGCAUCUGCUAGGAUGCUGGCGUAAUGGCUGUAAGCGGCCCGUCUUGAAACACG